rnacentral:rRNA from 1 species
UACCAGACUCCUACGGGAGGCAGCAGUGAGGAAUAUUGGUCAAUGGGCGGGAGCCUGAACCAGCCAAGUCGCGUGAGGGAUGACGGCCCUACGGGUUGUAAACCUCUUUUGUCGGGGAGCAAAUUCCGCCACGUGUGGCGGAGUCGAGAGUACCCGAAGAAAAAGCAUCGGCUAACUCCGUGCCAGCAGCCGCGGUAAUACGGAGGAUGCGAGCGUUAUCCGGAUUUAUUGGGUUUAAAGGGUGCGUAGGCGGAAUAUCAAGUCAGCGGUAAAAAUUCGGGGCUCAACCCCGUCGUGCCGUUGAAACUGAUGUUCUUGAGUGGGCGAGAAGUAUGCGGAAUGCGUAGUGUAGCGGUGAAAUGCAUAGAUAUCACGCAGAACUCCGAUUGCGAAGGCAGCAUACCGGCGCCCAACUGACGCUGAAGCACGAAAGCGUGGGUAUCGAACAGGAUUAGAUCCCCGAGUA